CCGGGUGUAGCGCAGCUGGUAGCGCGCGUGGUUUGGGACCAUGAGGCCGCAGGUUCGAACCCUGUCACUCGGACCA
rnacentral:tRNA from 1 species